rnacentral:rRNA from 1 species
UACAGAGGGUGCAAGCGUUGUUCGGAAUUAUUGGGCGUAAAGGGCGCGUAGGCGGUGCGGUAAGUCUGAAGUGAAAUCUCUGGGCUCAACUCAGAGUCUGCUUUAGAAACUGCCGUGCUUGAGUAUGGGAGAGGUGAGUGGAAUUCCCGGUGUAGCGGUGAAAUUCGUAGAUAUCGGGAGGAACACCGGUGGCGAAGGCGGCGACCUGGGUCGACACUGACGCUGAGGCGCGAAAGCGUGGGGAGCAAACAGG